rnacentral:rRNA from 2 species
UAGGGUGGUUAUAGCAUUGGGGCUCACCUCUUCCCAUUCCGAACAGAGAAGUUAAGCCCAAUUGCGCCGAUGGUACUGCAUUUUAUGUGGGAGAGUAGGUCGCUGCCUUUC